GCGCCGGUGGUGUGGAAAGCAGAAGAUGCGGGUUCGAGUCCCGCCUGGCGCA
rnacentral:tRNA from 1 species